GGCGGGGGCACGGGGGGAGGAAAGUAGGGGAUCGUAAGACCUUGCGCUAUUGGAUGAGCCGAAGUCGGAUUAGCUAGUUGGUGAGGUAACGGCUCACCAAGGCGACAAUCCGUAGCUGGUCUGAGAGGACGACCAGCCACACUGGGACUGAGACACGGCCCAGACUCCUACGGGAGGCAGCAGUGGGGAAUAUUGGACAAUGGGGGCAACCCUGAUCCAGCGACGCCGCGUGUGUGAAGAAGGCCUUCGGGUUGUAAAGCACUUUUAGUGGGGAUGAACANNNCAGGGCUAAUACCUUUGGGUCUUGACNNAACCUACAGAAAAAGCACCGGCUAACUCUGUGCCAGCAGCCGCGGUAAUACAGAGGGUGCGAGCGNNNAUCGGAAUUACUGGGCGUAAAGC
rnacentral:rRNA from 1 species